rnacentral:tRNA from 1 species
GCCUAUCUAGCUUAGUUGGUAAAGCGCAAGGCUCUUGAUCUUGAGGUUGUGGGUUUGAACUACACGGUGGGUG